rnacentral:misc_RNA from 1 species
UCCCAACCCAYUCCCCACKGGGCGAUCGGGUGUCGGGGGCGGAAAUUGGCCCCCCGUGCGCUAAGUUGUGCGGCCGGCCUAAAUGCGAACCCGUGGCGACUCGCGUCACGACYAGUGGUGGUUGAACAAUCAACUCUCGUGCUGUCGUGGCGUUUCGAGUMGGCCAUCGGGCUUCGUUGCAGACCCAAYGGCGCGAUCCUAUCGCGCCUUCGACCGCGACCCCAGUCAGGC